GGGCCCAUAGUCCAAAGGUAAGACAUCUCAAUGGCAUUGAGAAGGUCCGGGUUCGAUUCCCGGUGGGUCCA
rnacentral:tRNA from 1 species